UGGGGAAUUUUGCACAAUGGGGGAAACCCUGAUGCAGCGACGCCGCGUGAUUUAGAAGGCCUUCGGGUUGUAAAAAUCUUUUGUAUAGGAAGAAAAUGACAGUACUAUACGAAUAAGGACCGGCUAAUUACGUGCCAGCAGCCGCGGUAAUACGUAAGGUCCGAGCGUUGUCCGGAAUCAUUGGGCGUAAAGGGUACGUAGGCGGGGAAGCAAGUUAGAAGUGAAAUCCUAUAGCUCAACUAUAGUAAGCUUUUAAAACUGCUCAUCUUGAGGUAUGGAAGGGAAAGUGGAAUUCCUAGUGUAGCGGUGAAAUGCGCAGAUAUUAGGAGGAAUACCGGUGGCGAAGGCGACUUUCUGGCCAUAACCUGACGCUGAGGUACGAAAGCGUGGGUAGCAAACAGG
rnacentral:rRNA from 1 species